GGUUGUGGCUCAGUGGUGUAGCAUUCGCCUAGCAUGCGCAGGGCCCUGGGUUUGAUCCUCAGCACCA
rnacentral:tRNA from 1 species